rnacentral:tRNA from 1 species
AUUUAAGUAGUUUAAUAAAUUAAAAUAAAGAUUUGUGAUUUCUUUGAUACUUUGAAGUCUUAAGUU